AUAUGUCUAUAACAAUUCAAAUCAAAGAUUAAAACAACGAAAACAAAGAUAACAUCAAUAUUGAGAGACAACUAAAACCAUAUAUAAAACCAUGAUCAAUAGAAACACAUACUAAUAAAGUAAUUUACACUUAAUUCCAACAAAAGUGUCUUUAACUACUCAUUACCAUGAUAGCUUUACACAAAUGAGAAGAAAAGAGAUGAAAUAACAACACCGGUUGAUUUCUCGAA
rnacentral:lncRNA from 1 species